rnacentral:tRNA from 4 species
CGGGGAGUAGCGCAGUCCGGUAGCGCGCCUGCUUUGGGAGCAGGAUGUCGCAGGUUCGAAUCCUGUCUCCCCGACCA